AAUGGGAUGACUGAUAAUAGGUGAUAAAUUGUAAAUUUAUUAAUGAUUGAAAAAUCUCCCAUUA
rnacentral:tRNA from 1 species